GUGAGUAGAAUCCUGGUGUACCGGUGAAAUGGGUAGAUAUCAGAAGGAACACCCAUGGCGGAGGCAGCUCACUGGCCAUUAUCUGACGCUGAGGCGCGAAAGCGUGGGUAGCAAACAGGAUUAGAUACCCUGGUAGUCCACGCCCUAAACGAUGGAUACUAGGCGUAAGGGGUAUCGACCCCCCUUGUGCCGCAGCUAACGCACUAAGUAUCCCGCCUGGGGAGUACGGCCGCAAGGUUGAAACUCAAAUGAAUUGACGGGGACCCGCACAAGCGGUGGAGCAUGUGGAUUAAUUCGAUACUAACCGAAGAACCUUACCCAGGUUUGACAUCGAUCGAAAGCUCUAGAGAUAGGGCCUUCCUCCCAAAAGGAGGACGUGAAGACACUUGUUGCAUGGCUGUCGUCAGCUCGUGCCGUGAGGUGUACGGUUAAGUCCGCCAACGAGCGCAACCCUCGUCCUGUGUU
rnacentral:rRNA from 1 species